rnacentral:lncRNA from 1 species
AUGAUUCAGUUUGUCGGAGUUUAAGGCAGAUUUUUUUUUCACCUCGUCAUAAAAAAAAGUUUAUUCUAUUGUGUCCCACACGAUUAGAAUAUUUCAUAAAAAUGUUUUCAACUUUCGUUUUCUAGUCAAAAAUCUCAAACUUUCAGUAUUUUUAAUAAAAUGUAUCGCUAUACAAAAUGUAAUAAUUCUACGUCAUAAUCCAAUUACAAAAAUAUCCAAAUACAUAAGUCUUAUAGGUCGUACAUUUUCAAAAAAAAAAAACAUCAUGGUAUUCACAGUGUUCAUAUCAACUUGGUGGUGUAGAAGUUUGAGAAGUUUGUUGAACCCUGUUAUCACAUACUCCCUCCGUCCCGCUAUUCAAGUCUCGUUACUUUUCGGCACGGAGAUUGAGAAGAAGC